rnacentral:rRNA from 1 species
UGACAGUGGCGAAAGGGUGCGUAGCGCGUGGGUAACCUGCCCUCGAGAUUGGGAUAACCCCUCGAAAGGGGGACUAAUACCAGAUGAGGUCGUUCUUCGCAUGGAGAAUUGUCCAAAGGUGGGGACCCUUCGGGGCCUGCCGCUUGAGGAGGGGCCCGCGUCCCAUCAGCUAGUUGGUGAGGUAACGGCUCACCAAGGCUUACGGGUAGCUGGUCUGAGAGGAUGGUCAGCCACACUGGGACUGAGACACUGCCCAGACUCCUACGGGAGGCUGCAGUCGAGGAUCAUUGUCAAUGCGCGAAAGCGUGAACAUGCGACGCUGCGUGGAGGAUGAAGGCCUUCGGGUUGUAAACUCCUGUCAUUCGGGAAAAACUGCACGGGUGUGAAUAGCGCCUGUGCGUGAUGGUACCGGAAGAGGAAGCCGCUGCUAACUCUGUGCCAGCAGCAGCGGUAAUACAGAGGCGGCAAGCGUUGUUCGGAUUUACUGGGCGUAAAGGGUGCGUAGGCGGCACUGUAUGUCGGGUGUGAAAUCCCACGGCCCAACCGUGGAAUUGCAUUCGAAACUGCAGAGCUAGAGUGCAGGAAGGGAGAGCGGAAUUCUUGGUGUAGCGGUGAAAUGCGUUGAUAUCAAGAGGAACGCCGGCGGCGAAGGCGGCUCUCUGGAAUGCAACUGACGCUGAGGCACGAAAGCUGGGGGAGCAAACAGGAUUAGAUACCCUGGUAGUCCCAGCCCUAAACGGUGCGCACUUGGUGUUGGGGGAAUUGACCCCCUCAGUGCCGUAGCUAACGCGUUAAGUGCGCCGCCUGGGGAGUACGGCCGCAAGGCUAAAACUCAAAGAAAUUGACGGGGGCCCGCACAAGCGGAGUAGCAUGUGGCUUAAUUCGAUGCAACGCGAAGAACCUUACCAGGGCUUGACAUGUAGCUGCACGUCCAGUGAAAGCUGGACUCCUUCGUGGGUGCUACACAGGUGCUGCAUGGCUGUCGUCAGUUCGUGCCGAGAGGUGUUGGGUUAAGUCCCGCAACGAACGCAACCCCUGUGUUUAGUUGCCACUCCCGCGCAAGUGGGAAGCACUCUAAACAGACUGCCCGUACAAGCGGGAGGAAGGUGGGGAUGACGUCAAGUCAGUAUGGCCCUUACGUCCUGGGCUGCACACGUGCUACAAUGGCCGGUACAGAGGGAUGCGAGACCGCGAGGUGGAGCAAAUCCCCGAAAACCGGCCCCAGUUCAGAUUGAAGUCUGCAACGACUUCAUGAAGUUGGAUUCGCUAGUAACGGCGCAUCAGCUACGGCGCCGUGAAUACGUUCCC